rnacentral:rRNA from 1 species
AAUACCAUCGAUCGCUCCAGAGUCCAAACAGUUCUCGAGAUGAGGAGGUUUUUGGUUAAGAGAGCAAGGACUGAAAAUAUGAAUGAUGUGCAACCUGAAGUAGAAGUAGAGCAAAUGACUGAAAAUGUGAAUGAUGCGCAGCCUGAAAUAGAAGUAGAGCCACCAGCGCCAAACGUUGCCAAUGAAUUUAAUCCAAAUGCGAUUGAGCGCGGUCCGGGAAAGAGGAAACAAAUUUGUGAAUAUCCUCCUGAUAUUCAAGACCAAGUGAGGAGAGCAUAUAUAUUGAAGGGUCCAAUGCAACCAGAUUUGAAUAAAUACCAUCGUACUGAAUUUGGAAGUUCGCGUUCCUCAAGAGCAUUUUCCAAAUCUUGGUAUAAAAGGUACGACUGGAUAGAAUACAGUGAGUGGAAGAAUGCAGCUUAUUGUUUUUAUUGUUUUCUCUUUAAGCAACCCGGAAGGGCUGAGCACUUUGGUUAUGAAGUCUUCACCAAAGAAGGAUUUACAGAUUGGAAGCAUGCAUAUAAAGGCUUCAAAGAUCAUAUUGGUGGUCAUGGUAGUAAGCACAACUCUUGCGUCAAGCAUUAUGAUGAUUAUAAUAAUCAAAGACAAAGUGUGGUAAGUAACUUUGCUAGAUCAAGCAAGGAAUCAGAAGAAAAGUAUAAGAUUCGUUUAAUUUGUUCUGUAAGUUGUUCAAGAUAUCUCAUUGCACGAGGCUUGGCAUUUCGCGGACAUGAUGAAUCAGCUACUUCUCUAAACAAGGGAAACUUUAGAGAGAUGAUAGAUUUGGAAAAAACUAAGAAUGAACAAGUCAGAGAUGCUUUUAACCGUGGUGGCAGAAAUUGCACAAUGACAUCUGGUGACAUUCAAAAGGAGCUUGCAAUG